rnacentral:rRNA from 1 species
GAUGUUAGCGGCGGACGGGUGAGUAACACGUGGGUAACCUGCCUGUAAGACUGGGAUAACUCCGGGAAACCGGAGCUAAUACCGGAUAGUUCCUUGAACCGCAUGGUUCAAGGAUGAAAGACGGUUUCGGCUGUCACUUACAGAUGGACCCGCGGCGCAUUAGCUAGUUGGUGAGGUAACGGCUCACCAAGGCGACGAUGCGUAGCCGACCUGAGAGGGUGAUCGGCCACACUGGGACUGAGACACGGCCCAGACUCCUACGGGAGGCAGCAGUAGGGAAUCUUCCGCAAUGGACGAAAGUCUGACGGAGCAACGCCGCGUGAGUGAUGAAGGUUUUCGGAUCGUAAAGCUCUGUUGUUAGGGAAGAACAAGUGCAAGAGUAACUGCUUGCACCUUGACGGUACCUAACCAGAAAGCCACGGCUAACUACGUGCCAGCAGCCGCGGUAAUACGUAGGUGGCAAGCGUUGUCCGGAAUUAUUGGGCGUAAAGGGCUCGCAGGCGGUUUCUUAAGUCUGAUGUGAAAGCCCCCGGCUCAACCGGGGAGGGUCAUUGGAAACUGGGAAACUUGAGUGCAGAAGAGGAGAGUGGAAUUCCACGUGUAGCGGUGAAAUGCGUAGAGAUGUGGAGGAACACCAGUGGCGAAGGCGACUCUCUGGUCUGUAACUGACGCUGAGGAGCGAAAGCGUGGGGAGCGAACAGGAUUAGAUA